GAUGCUGCGCGAUUCAGAGUAAAAGCCUCGUAUGACCAACCGCAAGCUUACGAUGGACCGGGGAGAGUCGGAUACUUUGAGAGUAGUGUCUUAAGGGGGUGGUAUGUCCCAUCCAAGGCUAAAUAACGUGAGGAGACCGAUAGAUUACAAGUAGUGUGAACGAAAGAUGAAAAGAACUCUAAAACAGAGGGUGAAAAGUUCCUGAACUUGCUUAGGGUUAAGGCUAUUUAUAGUACCCGUCUUGAAACACGGAUUAGGGAGUUUAUCUGUAGUGCGAGUCUUUGCACGUUAACUGUAAAGGCGUAGAGAAAGCAACUGGCGUUUGCAUGGCUACUGAGCAUUACUGAUAGGACCCGAAAGGUGGUGAACUUUGCCUGCACAGGUUGAAGUCAGGGGAAACUCUGAUGGAGGACCGUACGGGUUAUUGAUGUGCAAAUCAUUUUUCUGAUGUAGGUAAAGGUGCGAAAGACUCAUCGAACCACCUAAUAGCUGGUUUCCUCCGAAGUUUCCCUCAGGAUAGCUGUAAUGCAUUUAGUUAAGGGGAGUAGAGAUAUGGGUAGAGGUGCAGGGAGCCUUCGGGUUCUCAACUUAUUUCCAAACUUCGAACCUCCUUGUUAGGCAUUUACCUAACUGGAAAUGCUUAAAUGAAUUAGCGUUACAAGUGGGCUCUGACCGGUAAGCGGUCAUGGCGAAAUGGGAUGAACCAUACGUCUGAAUAAGGUGCCGAAAUGUACUAUCACUGAUACCAUAAAGGGAGUCCAUGUAUUUAGACAGCAGGUCGGUGCCCCUAAAAGCAGGUAUCCGCUAAAGAGUGUGUUAAAACUCACCUGCCGAAUACUAGGGCCCCGAAAAUGAAUGGCGCAUAUAGUACUACCGAUCUCAGACAUCAGUUCUAUUGAACUGAGAGUAGGGGGAUGUGGACAUUUUUGUGAAGGGUGCAUGUGAGUUGGACUGGAAGAAUGUCUAUUACAGAUCCCUAAUUGAAGUAGCGAUUAUCCAGGCUUGUAUCCUGGGGGCUGAUGAGGAGUAGGGUUUCUGGGACACUUAACAGAU
rfam:Trichomonas vaginalis G3, whole genome shotgun sequence.